AUACGGAGGAUCCGAGCGUUAUCCGGAUUUAUUGGGUUUAAAGGGAGCGUAGGUGGAUUGUUAAGUCAGUUGUGAAAGUUUGCGGCUCAACCGUAAAAUUGCAGUUGAAACUGGCAGUCUUGAGUACAGUAGAGGUGGGCGGAAUUCGUGGUGUAGCGGUGAAAUGCUUAGAUAUCACGAAGAACUCCGAUUGCGAAGGCAGCUCACUAGACUGCAACUGACACUGAUGCUCGAAAGUGUGGGUAUCAAACAGGAUUAGAUACCCUGGUAGUCCUCACAGUAAACGAUGAAUACUCGCUGUUUGCGAUAUACAGUAAGCGGCCAAGCGAAAGCAUUAAGUAUUCCACCUGGGGAGUACGCCGGCAACGGUGAAACUCAAAGGAAUUGACGGGG
rnacentral:rRNA from 1 species